GUAUAGUUAAGUGACUAAGCGUACAAGGUGGAUGCCUUGGCAAUCAGAGGCGAAGAAGGACGUGCUAAUCUGCGAAAAGCUUGGAUGAGUCGAUAAGAGGCGUUUAAUCCAAGAUAUCCGAAUGGGGAAACCCAGUAGAUGAAGAAUCUACUAUCAACAAGUGAAUUCAUAGCUUGUUGAGGCAAACCGGGAGAACUGAAACAUCUAAGUACCCCGAGGAAAAGAAAUCAACCGAGAUUUCGUCAGUAGCGGCGAGCGAAAGCGAAAGAGCCAGUAAGUGAUAGCAGUAUAGUUAGGAGAAUGUGUUGGGAAGCACAAUCAAAGAGGGUGAUAAUCCCGUAUCUAAAAACCAUAUUGUGGUACUAAGCUAACGAGAAGUAGGGCGGGACACGUGAUAUCCUGUUUGAAGAAGGGGGGACCAUCCUCCAAGGCUAAAUACUCCUGAUUGACCGAUAGUGAACCAGUACUGUGAAGGAAAGGCGAAAAGAACCCCGGUGAGGGGAGUGAAAUAGAACCUGAAACCUUGUACGUACAAGCAGUGGGAGCCUGAAAGGGUGACUGCGUACCUUUUGUAUAAUGGGUCAGCGACUUAUAUUUUGUAGCGAGGUUAACCGAAUAGGGGAGCCGAAGGGAAACCGAGUCUUAACUGGGCGAAGAGUUGCAAGGUAUAGACCCGAAACCCGGUGAUCUAGCCAUGGGCAGGUUGAAGGUUGGGUAACACUAACUGGAGGACCGAACCGACUAAUGUUGAAAAAUUAGCGGAUGACUUGUGGCUGGGGGUGAAAGGCCAAUCAAACCGGGAGAUAGCUGGUUCUCCCCGAAAUCUAUUUAGGUAGAGCCUUGAGGUGACACCUUUGGGGGUAGAGCACUGUUUCGGCUAGGGGGCCAUCCCGGCUUACCAACCCGAUGCAAACUACGAAUACCAAAGAGUGAUACUCAGGAGACACACGGCGGGUGCUAACGUCCGUCGUGGAGAGGGAAACAACCCAGACCGCCAGCUAAGGUCCCCAAGUCUAUAUUAAGUGGGAAACGAAGUGGGAAGGCUUAGACAGCUAGGAUGUUGGCUUAGAAGCAGCCAUCAUUUAAAGAAAGCGUAAUAGCUCACUAGUCGAGUCGGCCUGCGCGGAAGAUGUAACGGGGCUGAAAUAUAGCACCGAAGCUGCGGCAUCAGGCGUAUCACUAAUACGCCUUACGAUUAACAAGCUAGAAUGGUGCGAAGCGACAUGAAAGGUUGUUCAAGCAACCCGAACGUUGAGUCGGGCAUCUUAGAGUGAGGAUUAUUAGUGAUACGCCUGUUGGGUAGGGGAGCGUUGUGUAAGCGGAAGAAGGUUCAUCGAGAGGUGGGCUGGACGUAUCACAAGUGCGAAUGCUGACAUAAGUAACGAUAAAACGGGUGAAAAACCCGUUCGCCGGAAGACCAAGGGUUCCUGUCCAACGUUAAUCGGGGCAGGGUGAGUCGGCUCCUAAGGCGAGGCUGAAAAGCGUAGUCGAUGGGAAACAGGUUAAUAUUCCUGUACUUGGUAAAGCUGCGAUGUGGGGACGGAGUAGGUUAGGUUAUCGCACUGUUGGAUAUGUGCGUUUAAGUUGGUAGGUGGGAAGUUUAGGCAAAUCCGGACUUCCUUAACACAGAGAGAUGAUGACGAGGCUCUACGGAGCUGAAGUAACUGAUACCACACUUCCAGGAAAAGCCACUAAGCGAAAGGCUUUACUAAACCGUACUGAAAACCGACACAGGUGGUCAGGUAGAGAAUACUCAGGCGCUUGAGAGAACUCGGGUGAAGGAACUAGGCAAAAUAGCACCGUAACUUCGGGAGAAGGUGCGCCGGCGUAGAUUGUAAGGGCUAGCCCCUGAAGGUUGAACCGGUCGAAGAUACCAGCUGGCUGCAACUGUUUAUUAAAAACACAGCACUCUGCAAACACGAAAGUGGAGGUAUAGGGUGUGAUGCCUGCCCGGUGCUGGAAGGUUAAUUGAUGGUGUAAUCGCAAGAGAAGCACCUGAUCGAAGCCCCAGUAAACGGCGGCCGUAACUAUAACGGUCCUAAGGUAGCGAAAUUCCUUGUCGGGUAAGUUCCGACCUGCACGAAUGGCAUAAUGAUGGCCAGGCUGUCUCCACCCGAGACUCAGUGAAAUUGAAAUCGCCGUGAAGAUGCGGUGUACCCGCGGCUAGACGGAAAGACCCCGUGAACCUUUACUAUAGCUUGACACUGAACAUUGAAUUUUGAUGUGUAGGAUAGGUGGGAGCCUUUGAAGCAGUGACGCCAGUCAUUGUGGAGGCGACCUUGAAAUACCACCCUUUAACGUUUGAUGUUCUAACGAAGAUGACGAAACGUGGUCUCGGACAGUGUCUGGUGGGUAGUUUGACUGGGGCGGUCUCCUCCCAAAGCGUAACGGAGGAGCACGAAGGUUUGCUAAUCACGGUCGGACAUCGUGAGGUUAGUGCAAUGGUAUAAGCAAGCUUAACUGCGAGACAGACAAGUCGAGCAGGUACGAAAGUAGGUCAUAGUGAUCCGGUGGUUCUGAAUGGAAGGGCCAUCGCUCAACGGAUAAAAGGUACUCCGGGGAUAACAGGCUGAUACCGCCCAAGAGUUCAUAUCGACGGCGGUGUUUGGCACCUCGAUGUCGGCUCAUCACAUCCUGGGGCUGAAGUAGGUCCCAAGGGUAUGGCUGUUCGCCAUUUAAAGUGGUACGCGAGCUGGGUUUAGAACGUCGUGAGACAGUUCGGUCCCUAUCUGCCGUGGGCGUAGGAGAAUUGGUUGGGGCUGCUCCUAGUACGAGAGGACCGGAGUGGACGCACCACUGGUGUUCCGGUUGUGUCGCCAGACGCAUUGCCGGGUAGCUAAGUGCGGAAGAGAUAAGUGCUGAAAGCAUCUAAGCACGAAACUUGCCAAGAGAUGAGUUCUCCCAAUCUAAGAGAUUGUAAGGGUUGUUUAAGACUAAGACGUAGAUAGGUCUGGUGUGUAAGUGUAGUGAUACAUUGAGCUAACAGAUACUAAUUGCCCGAGAGGC
rnacentral:rRNA from 1 species